rnacentral:rRNA from 1 species
UGGGGAAUUUUGGACAAUGGGCGAAAGCCUGAUCCAGCAAUGCCGCGUGUGUGAAGAAGGCCUUCGGGUUGUAAAGCACUUUUGUCCGGAAAGAAAUCCUUGGCUCUAAUACAGUCGGGGGAUGACGGUACCGGAAGAAUAAGCACCGGCUAACUACGUGCCAGCAGCCGCGGUAAUACGUAGGGUGCAAGCGUUAAUCGGAAUUACUGGGCGUAAAGCGUGCGCAGGCGGUUUGCUAAGACCGAUGUGAAAUCCCCGGGCUCAACCUGGGAACUGCAUUGGUGACUGGCAGGCUAGAGUAUGGCAGAGGGGGGUAGAAUUCCACGUGUAGCAGUGAAAUGCGUAGAGAUGUGGAGGAAUACCGAUGGCGAAGGCAGCCCCCUGGGCCAAUACUGACGCUCAUGCACGAAAGCGUGGGGGAGCAAACAGGAUUAGAUACCCCUGGUAGUCCACGCCCUAAACGAUGUCAACUAGUUGUUGGGGAUUCAUUUCCUUAGUAACGUAGCUAACGCGUGAAGUUGACCGCCUGGGGAGUACGGUCGCAAGAUUAAAACUCAAAGGAAUUGACGGGGUCAUAGCUGUUUCCU